UCAGUGCUGCAGCUAACGCAUUAAGCACUCCGCCUGGGGAGUACGACCGCAAGGUUGAAACUCAAAGGAAUUGACGGGGGCCCGCACAAGCGGUGGAGCAUGUGGUUUAAUUCGAAGCAACGCGAAGAACCUUACCAGGUCUUGACAUCCUUUGACCACUCUAGAGAUAGAGCUUCCCCUUCGGGGGCAAAGUGACAGGUGGUGCAUGGUUGUCGUCAGCUCGUGUCGUGAGAUGUUGGGUUAAGUCCCGCAACGAGCGCAACCCUUAUUGUUAGUUGCCAUCAUUCAGUUGGGCACUCUAGCAAGACUGCCGGUGACAAACCGGAGGAAGGUGGGGAUGACGUCAAAUCAUCAUGCCCCUUAUGACCUGGGCUACACACGUGCUACAAUGGGAAGUACAACGAGUUGCGAAGUCGCGAGGCUAAGCUAAUCUCUUAAAGCUUCUCUCAGUUCGGAUUGCAGGCUGCAACUCGCCUGCAUGAAGCC
rnacentral:rRNA from 1 species